GACGAACGCUGGCGGCGUGCUUAACACAUGCAAGUCGAGCGGUAAGGCCCUUCGGGGUACACGAGCGGCGAACGGGUGAGUAACACGUGGGUGACCUGCCCCCAACUCUGGGAUAAGCCCGGGAAACUGGGUACUAAUACCGGAUAUGACCUCUGGUCGCAUGACUGGUGGUGGGUAAAGUUUUUCGGUUGGGGAUGGGCCCGCGGCCUAUCAGCUUGUUGGGUGGGGUGAUGGCCUACCAAGGCGACGACGGGAGCCGGCCUGAGAGGGCGACCGGCCACACUGGGACUGAGACACGG
rnacentral:rRNA from 1 species